rnacentral:rRNA from 1 species
UAGCAUAUUAGUGAGCGGUGUGCAAGAAACUAAAAAGGAUUCUUGUAGUAAUUGCGAAUGAACAAGGAAAAGUUCAUAAUGAAAAUUGGGGCUUUGUGGUCUUGAAUUGUGUUUGACAGAUGCACUGCCAAUGGAAGCGUAGAUGGAAGCCAUUUGGAAAAAUGCAUUAAUGAUGGUGAGAGUCCUGUGUGUCAUUUACAGUUUUCUGUGCACGGUGUGCGUUCUAAGAUUCACGUUCCUUGGGAUUGGAACGCAAAGUGGGUGGUAGAUUUCAUUCAAAGCUAAAUAGUGGAUUGAGACCGAUAGUAAACAAGUACCAUGAGGGAAAGGUUAAAAGGACUUUGAAAAGAAAGUUAAACAGUGUCUGAAAUUGCUGAAAAGGAAGCAGAUGUAACCAAUUCGUUCUUUUCAAGAUUGUCAUGUACAAGCGUGAGUGCUGGCUGCAUCAACGCAAGUGUGGCAGCUGAUUCAAAUCUGAUUGUGCAUGGUGAUUCUUGCUUUGCGUGUCAAACAUCAUUUUGCAAUCAAGGAACACAUGGAUCAUAUGGACGUUUGCUUGCGUGUGAACAAAUGUUUUUUGUAGACAUCAAUUGUGGAUUGUCAUUGUGCGUGGAUGGUUUGGUUUUUGAUUGCGUUCUCACCGUGUGUGUGCGUGUAUCAAUAAACUUUGGUUUUGACUCAAAAACAUUGACAAACUGGUUUCAUUUGACCCGUCUNNNNNNNNNGACCAAGGAGUCUAACACAUGUGCAUUCUUGGGUGUGCAAGCCUGUUUGUGAAAUAAAAGUGAUUUGCUGUCACAUAUGCAACAGCAACUAACCGAUCAAUUGUGAGAGGUUUGAGUAUCAGCAUAUUUGUUAAGACCCGAAAGAUGGUGAACUAUGCCUGAGAAGGGUAAAUUCAGGGGAAACUCUGAUGGAAGCUCGUAGCGAUACUGACGUGCAAAUCGUUCGUCGUACUUGGGUAUAGGGGCGAAAGACUAAUCGAACCAUCUAGUAGCUGGUUCCCUCUGAAGUUUCCCUCAGGAUAGCUGGAAUUGCACAGUUUUAUCAUGUAAAGCGAAUGAUUAAAGGAAUCGGGGAUGUGUUGUCUUCGACCUAUUCUCAAACUUUAAAUGGGUACGAUCCAGUGGUUGCUUUUGUGAACUUCGGGGAUAAAUGACAAUUCUAAGUGGGCCAUUUUUGGUAAGCAGAACUGGCGAUGAGGGAUGAACCUGACAUUGUGUUGAAGUGCUCAAUUGCUCGCUCAUCAGGUACCAUAAAGGGUGUUGGUUCAUUUAAACAGCAGGACGGUGGUCAUGGAAGUCGAAACCCGCUAAGGAGUGUGUAACAACUCACCUGCCGAAUGGACUGGCCCCGAAAAUGGAUGGCACUCAAGCGAGUGACUGAUACACAAUCAUUGAUGUAAUUUUACACAUCUGUGAGUAGGAGGGCAUGGGGGUUCGUUGUGCAACUUUAGGUGCAAACC